UCUGUAGCCAUUGAGAUACCGUAACUGGUUAUAUGGAUGAAUAUGUAAAAAAGGACGACAUUAUUUGCCACAAAUGAGUUGUAACAUUAGAAUUGCAUAUGAGGUUUCGAGAUCUGGGACAAAGAUUACUAAGAUCUCUCUCCAAUUGUCUCAGAUGGUGACGCAUCUUUCAGAUUGUUGUCUUCUAGGUCGCUCUAGUGGUGUGUGAAAGGUGAAAGCUUUAAGCCUCGUUUCUAUCUCUUUGACAACAAUAAGGAGUGGUGAUGAAUCAGCAAAGGUUUGUUAUGUUGGUAACGGUGACACCAGUCUCUUCGUCUUUGCACCCGUGUUCUCUCUUCCUCUUUUUUUUUCCCCCAAAACUGAAUCAACUCUCUCUCUCUCUCUCUCUCUUGGUGAGAGCCGAUGUCGAUCUAAUCGUCGAUUUGUUGUGUGAAUCCGGUGAUUGAGAGGCGAAUUGAGUCCAUCGUGUGAAUCUGUUUGAAUCCGUUGAGUGAGAGGACAAUCCACCGCCGAUUACAUCAUCUCAAAUCACUCGAAAUCAGAGAGAUUUCGUUCAACAAAAAUCCAAUAUCCUUCUCAUGGUUAAUGGACUGAACACACACCGUUGGAGACAUGCGGUUGUCGUUUUACAAUUGAAGCAAGAUCAAGCAAAUGUUGAUCGCUCUUCUCUACGAAUAUGAAGAUCAAGCAUAAAGAUACUCGAUAAUGUUUGUUGUUGUCAUUGGUUUUUAGUUGUGUUCCAAGUAUAUUUGAUUGUGUCACAAGUUUUUAGUUUUCAAAAUUUUAAAUUUUUAGAACCUUUAAGUUCUACCAUUGGACUACCAACAUUUGAUAGAUUCUCAUGUAUCUAAAUUUUUUGUCAUUUACAUUACU